rnacentral:rRNA from 1 species
AUUGAACGCUGGCGGCAGGCCUAACACAUGCAAGUCGAGCGGAUGAAGGGAGCUUGCUCCUGGAUUCAGCGGCGGACGGGUGAGUAAUGCCUAGGAAUCUGCCUGGUAGUGGGGGAUAACGUCCGGAAACGGGCGCUAAUACCGCAUACGUCCUGAGGGAGAAAGUGGGGGAUCUUCGGACCUCACGCUAUCAGAUGAGCCUAGGUCGGAUUAGCUAGUUGGUGGGGUAAAGGCCUACCAAGGCGACGAUCCGUAACUGGUCUGAGAGGAUGAUCAGUCACACUGGAACUGAGACACGGACCAGACUCCUACGGGAGGCAGCAGUGGGGAAUAUUGGACAAUGGGCGAAAGCCUGAUCCAGCCAUGCCGCGUGUGUGAAGAAGGUCUUCGGAUUGUAAAGCACUUUAAGUUGGGAGGAAGGGCAGUAAGUUAAUACCUUGCUGUUUUGACGUUACCAACAGAAUAAGCACCGGCUAACUUCGUG